rnacentral:lncRNA from 1 species
CCCUCAUCCUUGUUUUCCAAUUCAUUCUUUAUGAUCUUGAGUUUUGGAGGCCUGGCAGUUCCAUCAGUAACCUUUUUUAGGUCAAGGAGUGUCCUUAUGUCCCACUGGAAUUUCUGUCUCAUGAUUCAACUUCAGCCCUCUUCUUCUUCUUCUUCUUCUUCUUCUUCUUCUUCUUCUUCUUCUUUAGAGCUUUCACAGGCAACUCAUUGUACUCCCCAGCUCCCUACCCCACCCCUCCGGCACUAUUUGAUGAUUAGACAUGAAUGUGACAUAUGUUCCAUUUCUCCCAGGAGAUCUAACUCUGUAUCUCAUUCUAGAUCAUUUGAUCCUACUGUCCGGUUCAAAAAUUCCACUGCAUUGGACCCCUUAAAAAUGUGCCUCGAAGAGGCACUGAGGUGUCCAUACCAUUUUUCUGCCCAGUAUCUGCUGAAGCAUUCUGCCCACCAGAUCUGUUUUAUCCCACCCUCCCUGAUUCUCCUGCCUUCCCAGCUACUCCCAGAUAGAACUUUGACCAGCCUUUACUGCAACACCCCUCCUUGGUUCCUCCUUCUUUGGUGUCUUUCUGUCUCCUACAUAUCUGCUUAUGACUACAUCUUCAUUUGCAGGAGGGCUGAGUCCCUCCCCCAGGGGCUUGUAGGUCAGCUGAGGCAGUGCAGAGGUGAGCCCCAUGGUCCCCUUCUAGGGCCCUGGCCAUUGUGGUUGGCUGUCAAUCCUUGGUGUCCCACUGUCCUUGAGUGGAAGCCUGGUCAAGUGGAAGCCUGGUCAAGUGGUUAUAGGGCUGACCUUGAAAACAGGAACACCUGGGUUCAUUUCCUGUCUGUGGCACAUGCUGGCUGUGUGACCAUGCGUAAGUCACUUAACCUCAGUGUCUCCAGGCAACUCUCUGAGAUGAUCUCCAUCACAGGAAGAAAUUUCCACAGGGGAGUUUGUCACACCUAUGAAGUCAGAAAAUGUGCCUUAAUUUCCAAAUUCAUAUUCCCCUAGUAGUAAGCUUUAUCUUCAUUAUUAUUUUGACUAGGGAGCCUGAUUCACCCUCCUGUACCUUGGAGUUCACCUAAAGCCAAAAAAGACAGACCUCUUGGGACUGAUGCAGGGAUAAAAGAAACCUUCCAUCAUGGAAGGUUUUCUUUCUC